rnacentral:rRNA from 1 species
CCUACGGGGGGCAGCAGUGGGGAAUAUUGGACAAUGGGGGGAACCCUGACCCAGCGACGCCGCGUGAGUGAAGAAGUAUUUCGGUAUGUAAAGCUCUAUCAGCAGGGAAGAAAGCAAUGACGGUACCUGACUAUGAAGCCCCGGCUAACUACGUGCCAGCAGCCGCGGUAAUACGUAGGGGGCAAGCGUUAUCCGGAUUUACUGGGUGUAAAGGGAGCGUAGGUGGUUGCGCAAGUCUGGAGUGAAAGGCGGGGGCGCAACCUCCGGACUGCUUUGGAAACUGUAUAACUGGAGUGCAGGAGAGGUAAGUGGAAUUCCUAGUGUAGCGGUGAAAUGCGUAGAUAUUAGGAGGAACACCAGUGGCGAAGGCGGCUUACUGGACUGUAACUGACAUUGAGGCUCGAAAGCGUGGGGAGCAAACAGGAUUAGAUACCCGAGUAGUC